rnacentral:misc_RNA from 1 species
GAUGAAGAACGCAGCGAAGUGCGAUAAGUAAUGUGAAUUGCAGAAUUCCGUGAAUCAUCGAAUCUUUGAACGCAAAUUGCACUCUUUGGUAUUCCGAAGAGUAUGCCUGUUUGAGGGUCAGUCAAAUAAAAAUCGGGGUUGUUGCUGCUGCCUUUGGUGGUGACGCUUCGGAACUAGGUCGUCUUUGCCUUCGGUUAAGUGACCUAAAAUUUCGGAUGAUCUUUCGAACGUAUUUAAUUUUUUUAUGUACGUUUAUAUAUCGAAUAUUGGAUGCGGUCAUUUCCAUGAUUCGCGUCUAUAAUUAUUUUCAUCAAAUGACCUCAAAUCAGGUAAGAGUACCCGCUGAACUUAAGCAUAUCAAUAAGCGGAGGA